AGGACGAACGCUGGCGGCGUGCUUAACACAUGCAAGUCGAGCGGAAAGGCCCUUCGGGGUACUCGAGCGGCGAACGGGUGAGUAACACGUGAGUAAUCUGCCCCUAGCUCUGGGAUAGCUCCGGGAAACCGGGAUUAAUACCAGAUACGACCACUUUAGACAUCUGCUGUGGUGGAAAGAAUUUCGGCUAGGGAUGAGCUCGCGGCCUAUCAGCUUGUGGUGAGGUAACGCUCACCAAGGCGACGACGGGUAGCCGG
rnacentral:rRNA from 1 species